rnacentral:rRNA from 1 species
GAUGAACGCUGGCGGCGCGCCUAACACAUGCAAGUCGAGCGAUCUUCUUCGGAAGAGAGUGGCGGACGGGUGAGUAACGCGUGGGUAACCUGCCUCAUACACAUGGAUAACAUACCGCAAGGUAUGCUAAUACAAGAUGAUAUAAGAGAUUCGCAUGGAUUUCUUAUCAAAGCUUUUGCGGUAUGAGAUGGACCCGCGUCUGAUUAGCUAGUUGGUAAGGUAAUGGCUUACCAAGGCAACGAUCAGUAGCCGACCUGAGAGGGUGAUCGGCCACAUUGGAACUGAGACACGGUCCAAACUCCUACGGGAGGCAGCAGUGGGGAAUAUUGCACAAUGGGCGAAAGCCUGAUGCAGCAACGCCGCGUGAGCGGUGAAGGCCUUCGGGUCGUAAAGCUCUGUCCUCAAGGAAGAUAAUGACGGUACUUGAGGAGGUAGCCCCGGCUAACUACGUGCCAGCCGCCGCAGUAACAC